GGUACCUGCAGAAUAAGCACCGGCUAACUACGUGCCAGCAGCCGCGGUAAUACGUAGGGUGCAAGCGUUAAUCGGAAUUACUGGGCGUAAAGCGUGCGCAGGCGGUUCGGAAAGAAAGAUGUGAAAUCCCAGAGCUUAACUUUGGAACUGCAUUUUUAACUACCGAGCUAGAGUGUGUCAGAGGGAGGUGGAAUUCCGCGUGUAGCAGUGAAAUGCGUAGAUAUGCGGAGGAACACCGAUGGCGAAGGCAGCCUCCUGGGAUAACACUGACGCUCAUGCACGAAAGCGUGGGGAGCAAACAGGAUUAGAUACCCUGGUAGUCCACGCCCUAAACGAUGUCAACUAGCUGUUGGGGCCUUCGGGCCUUGGUAGCGCAGCUAACGCGUGAAGUUGACCACCUGGGGAGAACGCUCGCAAGAUUAAAACUCUAAGGAAUUGACGGGGACCCGCACAAGCGGUGGAUGAUGUGGAUUAAUUCGAUGCAACGCGAAAAACCUUACCCACCCUUGACAUGUCUGGAAUGCCGAAGAGAUUUGGCAGUGCUCGCAAGAGAACCGGAACACAGGUGCUGCAUGGCAGUCGUCAGCUCGUGUCGUGAGAUGUUGGGUUAAGUCCCGCAACGAGCGCAACCCUUGUCAUUAGUUGCUACGAAAGGGCACUCUAAUGAGACUGCCGGUGACAAACCGGAGGAAGGUGGGGAUGACGUCAAGUCCUCAUGGCCCUUAUGGGUAGGGCUUCACACGUCAUACAUCGGUCGGGACAGAGGGUCGCCAACCCGCGAGGGGGAGCCAAUCCCAGAAACCCGAUCGUGGUCCGGAUCCCAGUCCACAACUCGACUGCGU
rnacentral:rRNA from 1 species